rnacentral:rRNA from 1 species
GAUGAACGCUAGCUAUAGGCUUAACACAUGCAAGUCGAGGGGAAACGGCAGAGAGUGCUUGCACACUUUGGACGUCGACCGGCGCACGGGUGAGUAACGCGUAUCCAACCUGCCCUUUACUUGGGGAUAACCCGUUGAAAGGCGGACUAAUACCCAAUGAUAUUCAUUGAUGACAUCUGAUUUGAAUUAAAGAUUUAUCGGUAUAGGAUGGGGAUGCGUCUGAUUAGCUUGUUGGUGAGGUAACGGCUCACCAAGGCCACGAUCAGUAGGGGUUCUGAGAGGAAGGUCCCCCACAUUGGAACUGAGACACGGUCCAAACUCCUACGGGAGGCAGCAGUGAGGAAUAUUGGUCAAUGGACGAGAGUCUGAACCAGCCAAGUAGCGUGCAGGAUGACGGCCCUAUGGGUUGUAAACUGCUUUUGUUUGGGAAUAAUCGACAUUACGUGUAAUGUUUUGCAUGUAACAUUCGAAUAAGGACCGGCUAAUUCCGUGCCAGCAGCCGCGGUAAUACGGAAGGUCCAGGCGUUAUCCGGAUUUAUUGGGUUUAAAGGGAGUGUAGGCGGUUGGUUAAGCGUGUUGUGAAAUGUAGAUGCUCAACAUCUGACUUGCAGCGCGAACUGGCUGACUUGAGUACACACAACGUAGGCGGAAUUCAUGGUGUAGCGGUGAAAUGCUUAGAUAUCAUGAAGAACUCCGAUUGCGAAGGCAGCUUACGGGAGUGUUACUGACGCUUAAGCUCGAAGGUGCGGGUAUCGAACAGG